UCGCUUACUUCCGGUAUACUUCCGGAAAAUUUGCAUGAAAGUAGCAAGUGAACUUUGUUCUCUGUACAAUUCUAAGGAUUGAAUGCUAGAUUUUAGCUAACAAAAAUGCUUUUUUCAAGUUUUGUGAGUAUCUUAAGACUAGUCCUUCAAAUACUGAGUUUUGAGACGUGUCAAAAAUGUCAAAUAGAUGGCGUGUUCAUUGUGUUAUGGAAUGGCAGUUUGCUGUCAAAAGUUAAGCUAUCCUUUCUUUGACAAUUACCAAUGAAUUCAUAGGAGUUAACGUGAAAGGGUCGUGGCCGUAAUACAGCCUACUGCCUACCGUCAACUAUUAUGUUCAAAAUCAUAGUAUUCUACUGAAUGUGCCAUCGAAAUUAUACAGGAGUCAUAAUUAUCUGCUGUUUGUAUUGGACUUGCUAGAUCACCAACCCCAGCAUAGACCAAUCUCUCAUUUCUUUUUCUCGAGAGAAGAUUGGAUAACUGAUUGGUGUUUUCAUGUGUAGGUUCACUUAUCAUGUCACUGAACUUUUUCCGUUGCAGUCUAAUAUGUAUUUAAAGUAUUGAUCUCCACUUAUGUCUAUCUAAUGUUU